UUCUGGAGGCUGGAAGUCCAAGAUCUAGGUGCCAGCAUGGUCUGGAUCCGGUGAGGGCGCUCUUCACGGUGGGCAGAUGGCUGCCUUCUCACUGUGUCCCCGUGUGAGAAGCGGGUAGAAGAGACGUGCUGCCUCUCUUAGGAGGGAGGAAUCUCCCAGUGUUUGUGCCAUGUUUUGAUCUGACUGAAAGCCAUAAACAUAGCCGAAGCCUGGGCCAUCCACAGAAGACCCAAUGUUCUCUUUUUCCAAGUGGGCAUUUUGUAUCUCUGAAGAGUUCUAGACUGAGCUACAUCAGUAGACCUCUGCAUUUAAAGGGAGCAAUUCUCGUCCGAGGAUCCUGAUUCUUCUACUGUAGUGCAAUUUCACUACUCUCUCCAAAUGUCUCCAAGCAAAUUCAAAGCAGCUGAAAAUAACUGCAUGCCUGAGAGGACCACGAAGCUUCAGGCCAGCCCUGUCCCGAAGUCUUGUGUGCUUCAUGUCGAGUGGUCUGCAGUGGACUGUGUCUGCUUGAAGCGAUGCUCCGGAGGGCUUAUUGUUGUGUGGGGUAAAGCAUGAGAUCACUGAAAAAUGAGAGAAAUCGAGCAUACGAAAUGUGAAGCAUAUCUGUUGACACCGUGCGCUCCCUUUGCUUGCACCGGAUGGUGCAUGGUUUCCAUGCGCAGUGCCUGAGGUGUGGGGCAGGCGAGGCCCAUGCAGCCUGGCUCCUUUCCAGAAGGUUGCUGUUCAUUACAGCUCGAGUGUGCUGGGUUCUGCAGAUAUUAUCUAUUUUAAAUUAACGCUCCGUAAAAGGAUUUAAAGUUUUCUGAAAAGAAACCAAUGAAUGAAGCUAAUAGUAAUAAUGCAAACACAAGCAAGCUGCCAAGUAAGCCAUUUUUCUAUUACGGAGCUCUUCAUCAGUCAUAUUAUUAAAGAAAAAACAACAAUACUAGUAAUAAUGAUCACCUAUUCAAGACCAAGAGUUUGAUCCUCCAAAAUUCAAACAAGGAAAAAUCUCUCCCAAUCUCUCCUUUCCUCCAUCCCUUUUCUUUACUUCUCAUCCCAUAUAUAAUAUUAUAUAAUGCAUACAUAAUAAAAGACAUUCACUAUUAUUA